GGGGAAGAUGGACAGGGACUCUGUUGUCAUAGCUUCAGGGGGAAGAUGGACAGGGACUCUGUUGUCAUAGCUUCAGGGGGAGAUGGACAGGGACUCUGUUGUCAUAGCAUCAGGGGGAGAUGGACAGGGACUCUGUUGUCAUAGCUUCAGGGGGAGAUGGACAGGGACUCUGUUGUCAUAGCUUCAGGGGGAAGAUGGACAGGGACUCUGUUGUCAUAGCUUCAGGGGGGGGAGAUGGACAGGGACUCUGUUGUCCUAGCUUCAGGGG
ensembl:lncRNA